rnacentral:tRNA from 1 species
GGAACUGUGCCUGAGUGCCCAAGGACCACUUUGAUAGAGUGAACCACAGAGGUUAAAAUCCUCUCAGCUCCU